CCUACGGGAGGCAGCAGUGAGGAAUAUUGGUCAAUGGACGAGCGUCUGAACCAGCCAAGUAGCGUGAAGGAUGACUGCCCUAUGGGUUGUAAACCUCUUUUAUAAAGGAAUAAAACGAGGCACGUGUGCCUUUUUGCAUGUACUUUAUGAAUAAGGAUUGGCCAACUCCGUGCCAGCAGCCGCGGUAAUGCGGAGGAUCCGAGCGUUUUUCGGAUUUAUUGGGUUUUAAGGGAGGGUAAGUGGGUAGGUAAGUCAGUUGUGAAAGUUGGCGGGUCAACCGUAACAUUGCAGUUGAAACUGGCGGUCUUGAGUGGGGUAGAGGUGGGCGGAAUGCGUGGUGUAGCGGUGAAAUGCUUAGAUAUCACGAAGAACUCCGAUUGCGAAGGCAGCACACUGGAGUCCAACUGACGCUGAGGCUCGAAAGUGUGGGUAUCAAACAGGAUUAGAUACCCUAGUAGUC
rnacentral:rRNA from 1 species